UACGUAGGGUGCGAGCGUUAAUCGGAAUUACUGGGCGUAAAGGGUGCGCAGGCGGUUCUGCAAGUCAGGCGUGAAAUCCCCGGGCUUAACCUGGGAAUGGCGCUUGAAACUACGGGACUGGAGUAUGGCAGAGGGAGGUGGAAUUCCAGGUGUAGCGGUGAAAUGCGUAGAUAUCAGGAGGAACACCGGUGGCGAAGGCGGUUCUCUGGGCAUUACCUGACGCUGAGGAGCGAAAGUGUGGGGAGCGAACAGG
rnacentral:rRNA from 1 species